GAGUUUGAUCGUGGCUCAGAUUGAACGCUGGCGGCAUGCCUUACACAUGCAAGUCGAACGGCAGCACGGGAGCUUGCUCCUGGUGGCGAGUGGCGAACGGGUGAGUAAUGCAUCGGAACGUAUCCUGGAGUGGGGGAUAACGUAGCGAAAGUUACGCUAAUACCGCAUAUUCUGUGAGCAGGAAAGCGGGGGACCUUCGGGCCUCGCGCUCUUGGAGCGGCCGAGUGUCGGAUUAGCUAGUUGGUGAGGUAAAGGCUCACCAAGGCGACGAUCCGUAGCAGGUCUGAGAGGAUGAUCUGCCACACUGGAACUGAGACACGGUCCAGACUCCUACGGGAGGCAGCAGUAGGGAAUUUUGGACAAUGGGGCAACCCUGAUCCAGCCAUGCCGCGUGAGUGAAGAAGGCC
rnacentral:rRNA from 1 species